rnacentral:rRNA from 1 species
CCUACGGGUGGCUGCAGUGGGGAAUAUUGCGCAAUGGGCGAAAGCCUGACGCAGCCACGCCGCGUGAGUGAUGAAGGCCUUCGGGUCGUAAAGCUCUGUCGGAGGGGAAGAAACCUGACGGUACCCUCCAAGAAAGCACCGGCUAACUCCGUGCCAGCAGCCGCGGUAAUACGGAGGGUGCAAGCGUUGCUCGGAAUCACUGGGCGUAAAGCGUACGCAGGCGGCACGUUAAGUCGGGUGUGAAAGCCCUGGGCUCAACCCAGGAAGUGCACUCG